UACGAGGGGGGCGAGCGUUGUUCGGAAUUAUUGGGCGUAAAGGGUGCGUAGGCGGCCUGACAAGUCUGAUGUGAAAUCCCUGGGCUCAACCCAGGGCCUGCAUCGGAAACUGUCGGGCUUGAGUAUGGGAGAGGUGAGUGGAAUUUCCGGUGUAGCGGUGAAAUGCGUAGAUAUCUGGAGGAACACCGGUGGCGAAGGCGGCAUCCUGGACCGGUAUUGACGCUGAGGCGCGAAAGCUAGGGGGAGCAAACGGG
rnacentral:rRNA from 1 species